AAGGGAAUCAUGCACGUGCCGGUGACGCGUAUUCUCGGGUUGAUAAUACAUACCUGAUGUUAUUGCUUGAGAAUACACGUAGCUGGUGCCUAGCAACAGCA